GGCCGCCGAAACCGGUUGCUUUUAUAAAAGCAACCGAAACCGGUUGCUUUUAUAAAAGCAACCAAAACUGGUCAGUUGCUUUUAUUUGGAGAUUUUAAACCCUAAACCUUAUCUCUUCUCAUCCCGUAGCAUCCCUUCUUAUCCACUAUUUCUCCUUCCUCUUCCCCCGCAUAUUUAAUCUCUUCUCCACCCUAAACCUUUUAACCAUGUAAAGUUGUUGAUGUUGCUCUGUUGCUUCGGAAGUUAAGAUUACUUUAAAAGUCAAUGUCAAGGUUAAUAUAGUAUUUAGCUGAUAUAUUGCUCUGGAAGUUAAAUUUUAGCUCUGGAUUUAACAAUUCCCGAAAAAAAGGGUUUACAUACAUGCACAUCAGGAAAAUAUUCAGGAAGUUCCAUAUGUUCCAGAAGUUCCGGUGCAGACUGAUUUUUUGUUAAAUGGGGAGCCCGGCAGGGAGGAUGAGGAUAGGACAUUGAUUCAUUAUCCUCUGUAUCCAUAAUCAGUAGUUUAACUAUAUAGUAAGUAUUAGUUAGAGUUUGUCGGAUGGUUAUGUAAUCUUUUGGUAUACAUACUGUUUGAUUGAAAUCAAACAGGAGAUGAUGGAUAGGCCUGUGGACAUGCUGUGUAAAAUCUUAUAUUUAUAUAUAUGCAGCUUUGGCAUAUUUAUUA